UACGGGGGGGGGCGAGCGUUGUUCGGAAUCACUGGGCGUAAAGGGCGCGUAGGCGGCCCGCACAAGUCUGCGGUGAAAACCCCCGGCUUAACCGGGGGCCGGCCGUGGAAACUGUCGGGCUAGAGGCCGGGAGAGGGCAGCGGAAUUCCCGGUGUAGCGGUGAAAUGCGUAGAGAUCGGGAGGAACACCGGCGGCGAAGGCGGCUGCCUGGACCGGCCCUGACGCUGAGGCGCGAAAGCUAGGGGAGCAAACAGG
rnacentral:rRNA from 1 species